ACGGAAGGCAGCAGUGGGGAAUAUUGCACAAUGGGGGAAACCCUGAUGCAGCGACGCCGCGUGAGUGAAGAAGUAUUUCGGUAUGUAAAGCUCUAUCAGCAGGGAAGAUAAUGACGGUACCUGACUAAGAAGCACCGGCUAAAUACGUGCCAGCAGCCGCGGUAAUACGUAUGGUGCAAGCGUUAUCCGGAUUUACUGGGUGUAAAGGGAGCGUAGACGGUAUGGCAAGUCUGAAGUGAAAGCUCGGGGCUCAACCCCGGAACUGCUUUGGAAACUGUCGCACUAGAGUGCAGGAGAGGUAAGUGGAAUUCCUAGUGUAGCGGUGAAAUGCGUAGAUAUUAGGAGGAACACCAGUGGCGAAGGCGGCUUACUGGACUGUAACUGACGUUGAGGCUCGAAAGCGUGGGGAGCAAACAGGAUUAGAUACCCUGGUA
rnacentral:rRNA from 2 species